rnacentral:lncRNA from 1 species
UUUUUUUUUUUUUUUUGACUUCCUAAAUCUAUGAAAAGCGUUAAACUACUAACCUAGUUUACUACACCAAAGUCCUAACCGGGAACUUAAAUUAUCUAUAUAGAUCUAAGACACACGUACAGCAGAAACUUAACAUGGAAAUCUAGCUAUAUUUCAUACCUACAUAAAACUAUUCACUAUCUAUCGGUUCUAAUUAGCAUUCCAAUCUUUGCAACAGCCUCUUCAAAUCCCAAACCUAACCCAAAUGUCCAUAUAGCACAUGUAACACAAUCGAUAAUUCCUUGAAAUCGGUAACAAGAAUGAGAUCGGAAGUCCAUUGUUUAUUCCAGAAAACCGAGCUCAAAACCUGGAUGCAGAUUACGAUCAUGUAAUUUGCGAUUGUGAAUUAAAGUGGCUUAUGAAUAUGAAUGAAUUAUAAGUUAGAAUUAGGUUUUUUUGUUGUUAAUAUGGAGGAAUAAUAAUCGGAU